GGUGGCCACGGCCGCCGCGCUGCUGGUCGGUUCCAGCACCCUCUUCUUCGUGUUCACGUGACUGGGAAGUUCCGCGGGGGUGUGAACCCUUUCACCCGAGGCUGCUGUGGGAAUGUGGAGCAUGUGCUGUGUAGCCCCCUGGCGCCCCGGUACGUGGUGGAGCCGCCCCGGCUGCCGCUCGCGGUGAGUUUGAAGCCGCCUUUCCUUAGGCCUGAACUCCUGGACCGAGCUGCACCGCUCAAGGUCAAGCUUAGUGACAACGGGCUGAAGGCUGGCCUGGGCCGUAGCAAGUCCAAGGGCAGCCUGGACCGACUGGAUGAGAAGCCACUGGACUUGGGGCCGCCACUGCCCCCCAAGAUAGAGGCUGGCACGUUCAGCAGUGACCUGCAGACCCCGCGCCCAGGCAGUGCUGAGAGUGCCCUGUCGGUGCAGAGGACCAGCCCCCCGACACCUGCCAUGUACAAGUUUAGGCCGGCUUUCCCCACGGGUCCCAAGGCGCCCUUCUGUGGACCAGGCGAGCAGGU
rnacentral:sRNA from 1 species